GGGCCCGUGGUAUAGCGGUAACACGAAUCCAUGGCAUGGAUUAAUCGGGGGUUCGAUUCCCCCCGGGUCCACAA
rnacentral:tRNA from 1 species